rnacentral:rRNA from 1 species
UACGUAGGGGGCUAGCGUUGUCCGGAAUCAUUGGGCGUAAAGAGCGUGUGGGCGGUCCGGUAAGUCCGCUGUGAAAGUCGGGGGCUCAACCCUCGAAUGCCGGUGGAUACUGUCGGGCUAGAGUACGGAAGAGGCGAGUGGAAUUCCUGGUGUAGCGGUGAAAUGCGCAGAUAUCAGGAGGAACACCAAUUGCGAAGGCAGCUCGCUGGGACGUUACUGACGCUGAGACGCGAAAGCGUGGGGAGCAAACAGG